rnacentral:rRNA from 1 species
AUGGAUGAGCACAGUUACAAUGCAGUAGAGGGACAACUCUCUUCGUAUUUUGUGAAAUCUGGGUCCAAUGCCAUAAUUGUGCCGAUAAGUUGUGAUGAAGAAGGUUAUUAUUACAGAAACAAGUUAGAGACAUAUUGUUUAAGGAUGUACCAGAUGUUUCCCAUCUAUGUCACAAAAAUGGAAGGAGAACUGCAUAAUGUGAAAUUCAGGUCUGAGGUCAAAGUGAAUGAUGAUACUUUCUGUUCAUUGGAGGCCCAUCUACAGCGCAAAGAGGCAGAAUUAGAUGCUGCCCAAGUUGCUUGCACAAGCCUAUUGAAUAAAUGCGACGAUGUUACCUUGAGGAUCGAGAAGGAUGAAUUAUGUGCGAAAUCUAUUCUGCAUGAGUUUGCACUUAAAUCCAAGUCUAGUCUGCCUGUCUAUUCUUCCUCCAUAGUCAAAGAGCUUGAGAUGACAUACUGGAAAUCAAGUGUUCUCUUUGAGGGUGUUUCCUAUGUCAGCGACGACCGUGCUAAGAAUAAAAGGCUGUCCGAACAGAAGGCUGCAUGUGCAGCGCUCAAGUCGAUUCUUGCUACAGAAGAUCAUCUCUUGCCCUCGAUCCUGGUUGCUAAGAGAAAACCAACAAGUGUGGUGGCGAAGAGUUCCCGGGCAACAAAAAAGCAAAAGAUCGGUUCUGAAUGA